rnacentral:ncRNA from 2 species
UAUAUCAAGAACGGGAGCUUAUAUAUAGGCUGAGAGGAAGUUGUGAACUUCGACCGCACCUGAUUUGGGUAAUGCCAACGUAGGGAUAGGAACUUAGAUUUUG